rnacentral:rRNA from 1 species
CCUACGGGUCGCAGCAGUGAGGAAUAUUGGUCAAUGGACGAGAGUCUGAACCAGCCAAGUAGCGUGAAGGAUGACUGCCCUAUGGGUUGUAAACUUCUUUUAUAUGGGAAUAAAAUGUUCCACGUGUGGGAUUUUGUAUGUACCAUAUGAAUAAGGAUCGGCUAACUCCGUGCCAGCAGCCGCGGUAAUACGGAGGAUCCGAGCGUUAUCCGGAUUUAUUGGGUUUAAAGGGAGCGUAGGUGGAUUGUUAAGUCAGUUGUGAAAGUUUGCGGCUCAACCGUAAAAUUGCAGUUGAAACUGGCAGUCUUGAGUACAGUAGAGGUGGGCGGAAUUCGUGGUGUAGCGGUGAAAUGCUUAGAUAUCACGAAGAACUCCGAUUGCGAAGGCAGUUCACUGGACUGCAACUGACACUGAGGCUCGAAAGUGUGGGUAUCAAACAGGAUUAGAUACCCUAGUAGUC